rnacentral:rRNA from 1 species
GUGUCAGCCGCCGCGGUAAAACGUAGGUCCCGAGCGUUGUUCGGAUUCACUGGGUGUAAAGGGCGCGUAGGCGGCCUUUUAAGUCAGAUGUGAAAGACCACGGCUUAACCGUGGGGUUGCAUUUGAAACUGGGAGGCUUGAGUGUCGGAGAGGGCAGUGGAAUUCCCGGUGUAGCGGUAAAAUGCGUAGAUAUCGGGAGGAACACCGGUGGCGAAGGCGGCUCUCUGGGCCGAUCCUGACGCUGAGGCGCGAAAGCCAGGGGCGCGAACCGGAUUAGAUACCCGGGUAGUCCUGGCCGUAAACGAUGGGUGCUAGGUGUUGGGGGGUAAAGACCCUUCAGUGCCGAAGCUAACGCGAUAAGCAUCCCACCUGGGGAGUACGGCCGCAAGGUUGAAACUCAAAGGAAUUGACGG